GUAACUGGCGCCAUUAGGACCCGUUCCCACAGACUCAAGAUGGCCUGGUAGAUGCACCCGGCACGCGCCUCUCCUCCGACGGGAACCGAAGGAGACAGUAGGUUUUCGCACUUGCAGCAGAUCGGCUGAGAGAACGCGGGAUUCAGCCGAGAAGCCACAGGGAGCCCGAGGAGUGCAGCAAAGGCACCUAGGCAGCCUGCUCGGAGAAAUCGGAUCGGCGGGGACGGCCUGUAGCUCCUGCGCGCGGGGAAAGGGAAGAAGUCCUCCCCUACAAAGCGAGUUCACAAACUUGGAAGAAGCCACUUUCACAGGAUGCACAGAUCUCAACGGAAGGACACAGGAAACAUGAAAAAGCAAGGAAAUGGGCCGCCUCCAAAGGAACCCAGUAAUUCGCCAGCAGCAGAUCCCCAUCCAAAAGAAACACAAGAUAUUUUGGAGAGAGAAUUGAACAUA